rnacentral:pre_miRNA from 1 species
GGGGGGAGGUUGAAUCCUGGGCUGUGUCCCUGGCACCCUGCGCUCCCGGACCGGCGCUGUUGGAUUCGCGCUCCCCGCUGGACCCCCUC